AGACUAGCUUGCGAGGUCUGCAGAGUGCAGAGUUGGGCUGAGAAGGGUGCCCCAAGGUGAAGGGGUGGUUGUUUAGUCAUCACUUCUGGCUAAUUUCACUCACAACGACUCUAAAGCCACAGCAGGGGCACCACAGUUCUAGGGCUGGUGAAUGUUGGCAUGUCACAAGCCUGUUAGUCUUGCCCAAGAAUCUGUUAACUCAAUACCAGCCGGGCCCCAGCAGUGCCUCUGGUCUCAUACCUCCCCACCCCCGCACCAGAGUUUGACAGCUUUAAUUUCAACCCAAUGCAAACCCCUGGAAAGAGGGAGCCACCAGUAUCAUGGCAAGGAGGUGGGUGUCAGGACAAGGACACAUUGAGAAAGGUGAGUAGGCAGGCCUGGCUCAAAUCCUGACCCCAGCUCUGAAACGUUGGACAAGUCACUUCUCCAAGCCUGGGUUUCCUCCUCUGUAGCCACCAGCCAACACUAACGACAUGCCAUUUCCAGGGUGUGGUCACUCCCUCAAGCAUGCAGGCAGGGUCUGAGAGUCCUCCUGUCAACCUUGCCCAUAGAAAGUAUACCAGUCAGGGAGUUCCUGUUGUGGCGCAGUGGUUAACAAAUCCGACUAGGAACCAUGAGGUUGCAGGUUCGGUCCCUGCCCUUGCUCAGUGGGUUAAGGAUCUGGUGUUGCCGUGAGCUGUGGUGUAGGUUGCAGACGCAGCUUGGAUCCCGCGUUGCUAUGGCUCUGGCGUAGGCCGGUGGCUCCAGCUCCGAUUCAACCCCUAGCCUGGGAACCUCCAUAUGCCGCAGGAGCGGCCCAAGAAAUAGCUAAAAAAAAAGACAAAAAAAAAAAAAAAAAAAAAGAAAGUAUACCAGUCAGGAGUCUCCAAAGAGACAGAACCAACAAGAUACAGAUGUAUCAUAUUUGGUACAUCGGGAAAGAGACAGAUUUUAUUUUAAGGAAUUAGCUCACACGAUUGUGGAAGCUGAAAAAUCUGAAAUUUGAAGGACGGGCUGGGAGGCUGGAAACUCAGGCAUCAUUUCUGUGUUACAGCUGGCAGCAGAAGUCCUGCUCUAAGAAAUCUCGGCUUUUGUUCUUCCAGCCUUCAGCUGAUUGUACGAGGCCCACCCAUAUUAUCACAGACACCCUCCCUUACUUAAAGUUAACUGAUGGCAAGUAUAAAUCACAAGUAGCAAAUACCUUUACAGCAGCACCUAGACCAGUGUUUAAACAAACCAUAGGCAUCAUCACUCAGCCAAGUUGAAACACAAUGUUUAACCAUCACAGAAUGUAUUACUUCCUUUCAUGCAUGAGGAAGUUGAAGCUCAGAGCUGCUGUGCCAACUGCUUCAGGCCAAGGAGCACAUGGAGGAUAAAGCUGGGCGUUGGCCACAAGCCAGAGUCGGCCUCUACUCUGAGAAUGUGGCUGUGGGUAGCUACCUCACCGGGCAUGUGUGAGGACUGGAUACAAAAAUGCACACAAGGACUUCCCAUCUUGGCGCAGUGGAAACGAUUCUGACUAGGAACCAUGAGGUUAUGGGUUUGAUCCCUGGCCUCAUUCAGUGGGUUAAGGAUCUGGCAUUGCCAUGAGCUGUGGUGAAGGUUGCAGAUGCAGCUCAGAUCCCAUGUUGCUGUGGCUGUGCUGUAGGCUGACAGCUGCAGCUCCAAUUCGACCCCUAGCCUGGGAACUUCCAUAUGCCGCAGGUGCAGCCCUUAAAAAAAAAAAAAAAAAAAUUACUGAAAAAGGAUGAGAUGGUGUGGGAACUGGGAGAGGGGCCGAGAGGAGUGUUGUUCCCCACCGUCAGAGAUGGUUCUAGAGUGUGGGGCAGAGAAACCUAUAGCCUCCUGGGCCCCCAAGGAGAGAGAAGAGUGGGGGAGAAGGAGGCCCCCAUCAGGCUGAGAGCCCUGGUGCCAGGCAACCCGGCUCAGAGCCUCUGACCCAAGUGCAGGGGACGGAGAGGGAGCCCAGAAUCACGAGUGUGUGUGCUGUCAGAAAGGAGUCUCACCUCCUGAGGCUGUGGCCAGCUGGCAGAGCUACCUGGAAGUGGGUGACUUCUCCUAAGGGUCAGGCUGGCUGGCUCCUGGGCUGGGUACUCCCAUCUGCCCGCCCAAACUGGACCUAUGGCCAGAAGUAGAGAAAAGCUUCCACUGAGACCAGAAAGCCUUAGACACAGCUGAGGCUCCUUCCUUAAGCUCCCCUGGCGGGAGUGCUGGACCAGAGGCAGAAGGCCAAUAGGUUAGCCAUGCUCUCCACCUACUGGCUAUGUGAUCUUGGGCGAGUGACUUAACCAUUCUGGGCUUCUGUCCAAUGUAUGUGGCUACUCACUGCUCUGACCCACAGGGCUGCUUCAAGGGGACCAAGCCAUGGCACUAUUACUUGUCACCAUUCUUGUUCAUCAUUGCAUUGGUCUUCCUGGCCAUCUUAUUGCCCCUGUUUACCCAGCACCACUUCUCUCAGUACUACUCACUCUCUCCCUUCUCCUCCCUCUAUUUUUCCAGCUCCCCUCACAGCUGGUCAGAAUGUGUGCUGGGCGGGCCUCUAAAUGCCUCCAGGGUCAGAAAGAAAUGAAAGCCCUUGCCAUCGUUGAUAAUCAUGUCGAUAACAGUGGGAUUCUGGCAAAGGUUGGAUGGUUGGGACUCUGACCCUCCCCCACCCCAUGCUGCCCCCCCUGCUGCUAUAUGCCUCUUUCUUCUCUCUCUGGCCUCCAGCCUCCCUGGCCCUCUAACGUCCCUCCUCCAUACCGGGCUCCUCUAGGCUUUGCUGAAGGCCCCUCAGCCUGGCUGCUCCAUCAGAAGCAGUAUCUGGUUGACACCGUCCAAGCUCCGAAGUGGGUCUCUCUCCACGCCACUGUCUGUCCCAGAACACUUGCCCAUACUGGUCACAGCCUGUAAGGGUUCCUUGCCUAGCGUGUCUCCCCAGCAGCCCAGGGCAGGGAGCAAGGCUCCUUUUCAUGUGCAUCCUGCACUCGCUGGGGAAGGCAGGCCCAGCCAGCUCCCUUCAACUCCACCCCAUCACCAUCCCAUCCCCCAGGGGGCCUGCUCUAGCCUGACCCACAGGCAGGGGCUGGGGUGUGAAGACAAGCACUACGGAACCUGCCUCUGGGACAGUCCCCUUCAGAGAACCCCUCACAGCCAGCCUGAUCCUCCCCCAGCCCCCGCCCCAGACCCUCCUCCAGAGAGAAAAGAGCAAGCAUGUGGGCUACAAUGGACUCCUUUGUAGCCCAAACCUUACUUGCUGUGUGGCCUUGAGCAAGUACUCUUCCCUGAGUCAGUCACACUGGCUCCAAAACAGGUUAGGGCUACAGACAUACACUUAAGAUGUCCUCAAAGCCAGGCGGUUGUCAUUGCUAAGACAGCACAUGUCUACAGAGUUAGGGACCCUUGAAAGAGCCCAUCCUGCCUGGGCCAGCCCAGGGAUUGCAGGCCUGUUGAGUCCUCAAAAGAAGCUGGAAAUCUGAGUUUCAAUUUAACAAUCUCCUGAUUGACAACUAAUUCCCUCCCUUUUUUUUUUGUUCUUGGUCUCUUAGGGUUGUACCUGCAACAUAUGGAUGUUGCCAGGCUAGGGGUCAAAUCAGAGCUACAGCUGCCAGUCUAUGCCAGAGCCACAGCAACUCAGGAUCCAAGCCAUGUCUUCGACCUACACCACAGCUCAUGGCAACGCCAGAUCCUUAACCCACUGAGUAGGGCCAGAGAUCAACCCUGCAUCCUCGUGGAUCCUAGUCAGGUUUGCUACCGAAAAGUCACGAAGGGAAGUCCUAAUUCACAUUUUUUAAAAGCACUUAUGGGUCAAACAGGACAUGUCUGGGCCACAGUUUGUGGGUGCUAGGCUGGGAGGCCAGGUUCUGGGGUCUGCUGGGGCUCUCUGGGAGGGUAGUAUUUGCUCUUUGGUCAUUUUCUGCUCCUUUUUGGCAGGGGAGGAGGUGCUGUUCCUUGUGUGCCACCCCAGACCUGCCUCCUGGAGUACUGGAUGACUUUGCUCUACUCUGGCCCCUUAGUCAAUUAGAGCCCACCCCUUGCCCUGAAGAUGGCUUCACAAACCCAGGUCCAGGUGGGCCAGAACCUGAGAGGGUUCCAAAGGCAGGACCAGCACAAGGCAGGGGUUAAGGGCCUCAGAACCCUCAUGCCCUGCACAAUCCCCAAAUUCCUAUCAUAACUCCUGGGCCCUGACACUGUAAACCCUGGAGCUCAUGUUUCCAACCCUCCAAGGCAGAGCUGAGCUGUUUCCAGAACCUCUGGCCACUCUGCAAAGCUGGCUCCCUGCCCCCACUAUUUGGUCAGGCACUGAAACUCCAAGGAGCACCCCUGGUCCAAGGCCAAGGCCACAGUGAGCAUCAGCAGCACAGGCUGGAGGUUUUGUCCAUCUUCAAAACUGUCCCAUGUCCAUUCAGGGGAUUCCUUGAGGGGAAGGCUGGCAAGAUUUCUCACCUGGCUGGCAGAUGUGGAAACUGAGGCCCAGAGCAAAGCAGGAAGCUCACUCAGGUCCCUCAGAGACAUCACCUUAGAGAGAGGCACUGCUAAAAAUAGCUCCUGGGGCCCAGAGUGGGAAAGGAUGAAUUCUGGGGCUAGCAUUAACAUUUUCUUUUGCCUUGAACACUGGGCAGGUGCUGUGUGCAGCAGUCCCUGACAGUAAAGAUGACACAGACUAGGGGGGAGGGGGGAAGUGAGGGAGGUCUGGUCCCAGCAUCAUCCCCAGAUUGGAGUCUGACCUUCCUUGUCUGAACUCUGGAGGCCCGGGUUCCCCUGCCCAGGGCCAGGGUGAUAAGAUGAGUUUGCACUGCAGCUGAGGAGGGAGGCAAGACAGGAGCUAGGGAGAGAAGCGAGGGAAGAAAAAGCAGGGGUCAGGAGAGAGGGGAGUAAGAAGUCUGAACCCAGGAGAGGGAUCACAGCUCUGCCAGAAUGGGGCUCACCCAGACUCAUCACUGAGGCAGGAGAGACAACCCCACUUCACAGAUGGAAAAAUUGAGGCUUAGGGCAUGGAGUAAUUUGCCCAAGAUCUCAGAAUCAGAAAAGCAGCAGAGUCAAGAUUAGAUUUCAUGGCAAGUUCCUGCUGUGGCACAGAGGAAACGAAUCCAACUAGUGUCCAUGAGGAUGCGGAUUUGAUCCCUGGCCUCACUCAGUGGGUUCGGGAUCCGGCAUUGCCGUGAGCUGUGGCAUAGAUUGCAGACAUGGCUCAGAUCCCACGUUGCUGUGACUGUGGUGUAGGCCAGUAGCUACAGCUCUGAUUCAACCCCUAGGGAACUUCCAUAUGCCAGUGGUG
rnacentral:lncRNA from 1 species